rnacentral:rRNA from 1 species
GCAAGGGCCAGUCGAGCGGCGAACGGGUGAGUAACGCGUGGAUAACCUGCCCUGAGGUGGGGAAUAACCCGGGGAAACUCGGGCUAAUACCGCAUGAUACCGAGAGGUCAAAGCGGGGUCGCAAGAUCUCGUGCCACAGGAGGGGUCCGCGUUCGAUUAGCUAGUUGGUAGGGUAAUGGCCUACCAAGGCCACGAUCGAUAGCCGGCCUGAGAGGGUGAUCGGCCACACUGGAACUGAGACACGGUCCAGACUCCUACGGGAGGCAGCAGUGGGGAAUUUUGCGCAAUGGGCGAAAGCCUGACGCAGCAACGCCGCGUGGAGGAUGAAGGUCUUUGGAUUGUAAACUCCUGUCAGCAGGGAAAAAGCGACCGGUGCUCAUACCACCGGGAGUUGAUUGUACCUGCAGAGGAAGCCCCGGCUAACUCUGUGCCAGCAGCCGCGGUAAUACAGAGGGGGCAAGCGUUA